AUUGAACGCUGGCGGCAGGCCUAACACAUGCAAGUCGAGCGGUAGCACAGAGAGCUUGCUCUCGGGUGACGAGCGGCGGACGGGUGAGUAAUGUCUGGGAAACUGCCUGAUGGAGGGGGAUAACUACUGGAAACGGUAGCUAAUACCGCAUAACGUCGCAAGACCAAAGUGGGGGACCUUCGGGCCUCAUGCCAUCAGAUGUGCCCAGAUGGGAUUAGCUAGUAGGUGGGGUAAUGGCUCACCUAGGCGACGAUCCCUAGCUGGUCUGAGAGGAUGACCAGCCACACUGGAACUGAGACACGGUCCAGACUCCUACGGGAGGCAGCAGUGGGGAAUAUUGCACAAUGGGCGCAAGCCUGAUGCAGCCAUGCCGCGUGUGUGAAGAAGGCCUUCGGGUUGUAAAGCACUUUCAGCGGGGAGGAAGGCGGUGAGGUUAAUAACCUCAUCGAUUGACGUUACCCGCAGAAGAAGCACCGGCUAACUCCGUGCCAGCAGCCGCGGUAAUACGGAGGGUGCAAGCGUUAAUCGGAAUUACUGGGCGUAAAGCGCACGCAGGCGGUCUGUCAAGUCGGAUGUGAAAUCCCCGGGCUCAACCUGGGAACUGCAUUCGAAACUGGCAGGCUAGAGUCUUGUAGAGGGGGGUAGAAUUCCAGGUGUAGCGGUGAAAUGCGUAGAGAUCUGGAGGAAUACCGGUGGCGAAGGCGGCCCCCUGGACAAAGACUGACGCUCAGGUGCGAAAGCGUGGGGAGCAAACAGGAUUAGAUACCCUGGUAGUCCACGCCGUAAACGAUGUCGAUUUGGAGGUUGUGCCCUUGAGGCGUGGCUUCCGGAGCUAACGCGUUAAAUCGACCGCCUGGGGAGUACGGCCGCAAGGUUAAAACUCAAAUGAAUUGACGGGGGCCCGCACAAGCGGUGGAGCAUGUGGUUUAAUUCGAUGCAACGCGAAGAACCUUACCUGGUCUUGACAUCCACAGAACUUUCCAGAGAUGGAUUGGUGCCUUCGGGAACUGUGAGACAGGUGCUGCAUGGCUGUCGUCAGCUCGUGUUGUGAAAUGUUGGGUUAAGUCCCGCAACGAGCGCAACCCUUAUCCUUUGUUGCCAGCGGUCCGGCCGGGAACUCAAAGGAGACUGCCAGUGAUAAACUGGAGGAAGGUGGGGAUGACGUCAAGUCAUCAUGGCCCUUACGACCAGGGCUACACACGUGCUACAAUGGCAUAUACAAAGAGAAGCGACCUCGCGAGAGCAAGCGGACCUCAUAAAGUAUGUCGUAGUCCGGAUUGGAGUCUGCAACUCGACUCCAUGAAGUCGGAAUCGCUAGUAAUCGUAGAUCAGAAUGCUACGGUGAAUACGUUCCCGGGCCU
rnacentral:rRNA from 1 species